CAGUAGCCGCGGUAAAACGUAUGUCACAAGCGUUAUCCGGAUUUAUUGGGCGUAAGGCGCGUCUAGGUGGUUAUGUAAGUCUGAUGUGAAAAUGCAGGGCUCAACUCUGUAUUGCGUUGGAAACUGUGUAACUAGAGUACUGGAGAGGUAAGCGGAACUACAAGUGUAGAGGUGAAAUUCGUAGAUAUUUGUAGGAAUGUCGAUGGGGAAGCCAGCUUACUGGACAGAUACUGACGCUAAAGCGCGAAAGCGUGGGUAGCAAACAGGAUUAGAUACCCGCGUAGUCCCUGUCUCUUAUACA
rnacentral:rRNA from 1 species